CAGAAAGAAGGCAGCCAUCCACAAGCCAGAAAGAGGAGAGAAGCCUCACCAGAAACCAACCCUGAUGGCACCUUGGUCAUGGACUUUUAGCCUCUAGAACUGCGUGAGAAUAAAUGUCUGUGGUAUAAGGCACUCAAUCUGUGGCAUUUUGCUAGGGCAGCCUGAAUAGAUGAAUGCAGCCAGGCACACUGUUCUAAGCAUGAGCAACAGGGCAGUGAGCAAACAGAUGAGGUCUCUAUGCUCACAGAGCUUACAUGCUGGUAGCGGGAGAGACUCGUCCCCUGGAUCCUUCCACCCAAAGAGAUCAGCUUUGCAAGCCAGGCAUCUCAGUGAAUGACACCAUGACCAAAGUUCUGCCCUUCUCAAUCACCACUUUCCUGAUGGAUGCCUGUUCAUUCUAAAUCUAUGCUACUGAAGGAGUCGUUCAGUGACUCACCUGAACAAACAUCUCUUUCAGGACUUCUCUCCCCACCUCUAGUUCCAGAAGAGGCUGGAAUUAUUUUUCAGGAGCAGCGAUACGAUCCUGAUAGCAACAAUAUGUAUUCAAAAAGCAACAACUAUUGAAGGGUGUGAAUGAGAUGGGAGCCUUUUCCUUUGAAUCAUAACACAACAUCAUGUUUUGUCCUCAGAGUAACUAGAGUGACAUGGAAUUGACAUUGGAUGCACUGGUCAGGGCAGAGGGAGAAAGCAGCCGGGGUGGUAGAUGGCUUUGUCUAUCUUCUUCUCUUUUGGCCUGGAAGCUAAGCAGUUAGGAGCAAGUCUACCUGUCCUUAUUAGCUGACCAACUGAGGGUGACCCUGGGGAACAGAUGAAGAAGAACAGAAAGAAGAUUCCAGGACUGGAUUUCUACCCCAGCAUAACUCUUGAAUGGAUUAAGCCAGCACCCCUUGAAUGUGAACUCUUGAGACUACGGAGCGACUGUGAUUGCUGCAGUGCAGAGUACAAAUUCGUUCAAGAAAACUGCCCUGGCCAGGUGUGGUGGCUCAAGCCUGUAAUCCCAGCACUUCAGGAGGCUGAGGUGGGUGUAUCACCUGAGGUCAGGAGUUCGAGACCAGCCUGCCCAACAUGGUGAAACUUCGUCUCUACAAAAAGACAAAAAUUACCCAGGCACGAUGGUAGGUGCCUGUAAUCCCAGCUACUUUGGAGGCUGAGGCGGGAGAGUCGCUUGAACCGGGGAGGCAGAGGUUGCAGUGAGCAGAGAUUGCACCACUGCACUCCAGCCUGGGUGACAGAGCCAGGCUCCGUCUCAAAACAAAAACAAAACCAAAAACAAACAAACAAAAAAAAAACUGCCUUGUUUUUCUGAAAGCCUUGGGCCCUCACCUGUGUUUGUUCUGGAGCCCCAGGCAGCUGCCCUUACCUGCUCUCUUUUUCCAGGGACCUCUGGUCAAACAAAUCAAUUUAAAACAUCAAGUGCUGGAGGAACACAAACACAGGCAGCAGGAGAGGCCUCAAGGUGCCAGGCUCUGCUUUCAGCGGCUCUGGGUUUCCAAGCACGUUCCAAAAAUAUAACCCCCACUGCCAUGGCAAACCUGCCUUUGAUAAAACACAAUGUACAAUCUCUAAUGUUGACACAGAACAGAUGGGACUUUGAUUUUUUAAAAAUCUGUUCUUGAUAGAAGUGAAAUAGGCAUAAUGGAUUUUUCCCUUUUUUUUUUGGAUUUGGACUUCUAUUUUUUUCUUAUCACAUGCAUACCGAACACAGAAUCUUUCCAUUCUCUCUCUUUGUUUCUGUCAUAGGUUAUUUCUGUAAGUAAGAGUCUCUGGUUGACCAAGUCUUGCUUUUCUCAUUAACCAAACAGGAUGCAGAUUACUAGCCCCAUGUCCCUUUUAUCUGGGGAAAAAAAAAAAUCAGUCAUGGGAGCCACACACCAAGGGUGUCCUCAGACUUAGAGGCAACAAGACAAUGGCUUAUCAACAACGAUGUACUGAGUGACUGCUGAGCAGGGGGUACAGUAAGGGGAGGGGGAAGUUAUCCCUCACCUACCCCACAUGCAAUCGUAAUCUAAAUGCAGAAUGGACCUGCCAUGCCAACUCAGCCUGAAUACAAGCCCCAACAGAUUGCAGCCCGUAAACCCCUCCUAAACACGCCUUUAGAGCUGCCCCCGGUCACAAAACAAGCCCUUUCCAAGCCCUCCAUAACUCCUCAGAGCAUCGUCUGUGCACAGGGUGUUCUUGCAGGGAGGGAGUCACCCCUCACAUGAUUCCAUUCCCAUAACAACAGUUGUUACAGGGGCAGAAUGCAACAGACACUGACAGACGGAUUUAGGCCCUCUACGUUAACCCUAAAUUGUCUGACUAGAUGAUGAUAGGCGUGCCUGACAGUCAGUGGCUCAAGCCACAUUACACCUUACUCUUAUACUUUAUUUCCUUCUAUCCUACAAGACUCCUGGGCAGGAGGUGAAAUUUAAAGAGAGGGAAAGAGAAACGCAGCAAAGAAUCAUGGCUCAGGGUAGUGGGAUGUUCUGCUCUAUGUCGAGAGUGGCUUAGCUUUUGUUUUCAAUCCGGCAGGCUUCUUCUAGGGCAGUUGGAUUGAUUCAAAGGGAUGAAAGGCAGAGUUGUGUGGAAGAGGGAGCACAAGUUUCAAUGGCCCUCCCAAGUCCGGUUCACAGUCCCACCACUCUAUAGGGAUUGGUGUGGUGGGAAGAGGGCUGAGGGAGAUUUACUAGGUUAUGAGACUGGUAAAGAAUACACACUGGGAAUCUUACCUCAUAUUCUCCUAGAUUCCAAUCUCUCCAACACAAAUUAAAUUGCCCUAACCAUUUUUCUAGAAUGAUCUGGAAAUAUGAACUAUUCAUAUUUCUUUCCCAACUAUUUCACAGAAAAAAUGUUUAUACAGAAUUUUUAAAAAAGUUACAGAGCAGAGCAUCCUCUUGGUGGAUUUCCAAAACCCGAUGUUGUGGCAUGCAACAAAGAGGACACUUGUCAUUCUAUUUGCCCUGUUAAUGGUAAGUUUCAUGGUACAUCAUAGGUGUUCAAUACAUGUUUUGACUUUUUAAAAAGUUUGCUUUCACUGUCAUGAUUUAGUUCAUGAGCAUUUAGUAAACAAGCAGGAGGAGAAGGAUCCCCUCAACACUGAUGACAACGAUGAUGAUGAUGUUAGUAAUGAAGAGGAAACAAGAUAGAAAAAGAACCUGUAUGUAGGGUAACCUGUCAAUUUUCUAAUGAGCAUGCCUAGGUCAAAUGAGAGUGCCGGGGUCUUAAUUCAAAUCCCUCUUCUACCACUUAGCAGGAAGCAUCAACAAGGCACAGUAUGACCCAUUCUCACUUUCUUUGUCUUUAACUAGAAAUAAAGAUUCCUCACAAGCUGUGAAAAUCAAAUAAGAAAAUUGUAUGCAAAAGUACUUUGUAAAUGGGGUCAUACAAAUAUAAGAAGGUAAUUUCAUUAUCAAUUGCUAAGAACCACAUAGGCCUCUCAGGAUCCAUUUAAGUUUUAAGAUAUCUUAACUACAAACUAUCUAUAAAAAUGCAGAAUAACCAAGGAUAAGCUAUUCAUUUUUUCAUUGCUGCAUAACACAUGACCAAAAAAUUUAGCAGCUUAAAACAACUCCCAUUUAUAAUCUCACAGUCUGAAGGCUGGAAAUCCAGGCAGACUCAACUGGGUUCUUUACUUAGGGAUUCAUAAGGCUGACAUCAAAGUGUCAUUGGUGCUGGGUUCUUCUCUAGUGACUCUGGGGAAGAAUUUGCUUCAAAGCUCCUUUGACCAGAAUUUACUGGCAGAAUUUAACUCCUUGGACUGUAGGCCUGAGGUCCUUGUCUUCUCCCUGGCUGACAGCUGUAUACCACUCUCAGCACACAGGGGCUGCCCUGUGGUGCUUGUCCCAUGAUCCUCCCCAUCUCAGCAAUGAAAAACCCCACUUACAUCAAAGCCUCCCCCUCUGACUUCUUCUUCUGCUCCCAUAUGGAGAAACUCUCAGCUUUGUCUUUUUUUUUUAAUCAUUAUUUUUUAUUAUUUUUCUCACUGCCUCUUUAGUCACUGAUCUCUACUUUGAAAGUGAUUAGACUUAGGUCCACCAGAAUAAUUGCUCUUUUAACUCAAAGACCACUGAUUGAUAACCUUUACUACAGCUGCAAAAUCCCUUUUGCCAUGAAAUGCAACAUAAUUUUGAGUGUGAUAUCACAUCUCAUUCACAGGCCUGAGGGUUAAGGCUGGAUAUCUUAGGGAGGGGGAAAUAGGUGACCUCAUAAGAAGAUGGCCCUAAAUAUGUACACUGUGUCUAUUUUAUGAUAAAUCUCCCCCCUCAUUAAGAGUUGGGGAUAGAAAGGAGGGAGGAGAAAAAUAUAUUUAAAAAAAGAUUUGGGGAUAACCUCCAUAUACUCCCCAUGUCUAACACAACUUCUAGCAAAAUGUGGGUUCACACUGAAUAGGGAUACAAGGCUUCCUUUGGGACAUCUGCUUUUCAAUCUCAGGUUCCAUAAAGAAAAUAAUAUUGAAAGUAUCUUUGUCUUAGUUAAUUGUAUACUUUCCCUGCACCCCGCUGUCUAGCAAGAUACCUAGCACAUAGAGGGGCAAAAUAAAUAAGGUUGAGUGAAUACGUUAAUGAAUGAAUGAAUGAAUGAAUGGAGGAAUUUUUCACUUAGGCUUAACUAAGGGUCUCCGCUGAUAUCUGCAUACCUAGCUUAGUUGUUGUUGGGUUUGUUUGUUUGUUUGUUUUGAAAAAAAAAUGUUGAAGAAAGCUCAGUGUUAAGAUUUUGGUUUUGGUUUUGCCUUUUAGGCACUUGUUUUUUUUCUUUUUUUAAGCUUUCCUUCAGGGAUUUGUUCCAUAUGAUCAACUCACACGGAUUAAUGCUAUUCUCACCCAUCAUAGCGGGGCCAGGCCCUCCCAGUCUAGAGGGAGAUUUGCGUAGAUAGAAGGGGAGUUCUGCCCGAGGCAACAGUGGGCACCUGAGGGAGGGCCAAUUUCAAGAGCCUUCUUUUUGAAAGAAUUUAAGAGCCUCAUCAGUCUGCCAAGGAAUUUGAGUGCACAGUGCAUAACAGGCUAGAUUCUAGCUCAGCAAAAAGUAAAAGACUCCUACCAAAUAAAGCACAGAAAAAUCUUCCAGCAACCAUCCACAAAAAUGACAAAGCCUUUUCACUGUUUCUUGUUUGUUUAUUUUUAUUUAUUUAUUUAUUUGAGACGGGGUUUCACUCUCGUUGCUCAGGCUGGAGGGCAAUAGCGUGAUCUCAGCUCACCUCCACCUCCCGGGUUCAAAUGAUUCUCCUGCCUCAGCCUCCCGAGUAGCCAGGAUUACAGACGCCUGCCACCAUGCCCAGCAAAUUUUUGUAGUUUUAGUAGAGAUGGGGUUUCACCAUGUUGGCCAGGCUGGAUUUAAACUCCUGACCUCAAGUGAUCCACCUGCCUUGGACUCCCAAAGUGCUGGGAUUACAGACUCAGCCACCGUGUCUGGCCUAUUUUUAUUUUUAUUUUUGAGAUGGAGUCUCAUUCUGUCGCCCAGGCUGGAGUGCAGUGGUGCAAUCUUGGCUCACUGCAACCUCCACCUCCCGCAUUCAAGCGAUUCUCCUGCCUUAGCCUCCAGAAUAGCCGGGAUUACAGGCGCCCACUACCACACCCUGCUAAUUUUUUGUAUGUUUAGUAGAGAUGGGAUUUCACCACGUCGGCCAGGCUGGUCUUGAAAUCCUGACUUCGAGUGAUCCUCCCAACCUCGGCUUCCCAAAGUGCCGGAAUUACAGGUGUAAGCCACUGCGCCCAGCCCUCCUCACUGUUUGAAAGCUUCCUCCUUGAAAACUGGAUUGACAGAUACUGGAUUGAAGUGAGGCAGCUUAAUGCUGAAGAGGACAGCUGGCAAUGUAGCAGGGAAACAGAGCCUACCUUGCUGCAGAUAAAUCAAUAUUCUGCUCCAGGCCAUUAGUGGCUGGUUAUUAUUUAAAAACAAAAACCUGCAAAUGUAUUGGUUAUCCCUUGAUCAGACUGUGUCUCCAAAGGAUUCUUUUAUGAUUCUUCCAUUUUCCAAGUUGCACAAAACAAUUUCCCAUUAACCAUAUCCUCGCAUAUUCUGCUUACUAAACCAAAGCCAUUUACAUAAUGGGUAAUUUCACACACACAUUAGCUAAAUAUAGGUGUAAACAAAUACGUUGCUAAAGUUUGGACACAUUUGGAGAAUGCAAAACAUCUAGACUAUGGGAGAGGUGGAGGAUUGGAGCCAGGUACAUACACGUUCCAAAUUAAGGAAAACCAAAAAUAUAUAUACAUAUAUAUAUUAUAAAUAUUAGAUACAUAUUACAAAUAUUACAUAUAUGUAAUACAUAUGUAAUAUACAUAUAUAUAAUAUUUGUAAUAGCACUUGCUACACUCUUCUAAGCACUGCUCUUGUAUUAAUUCAUUUAAUCCUCCCAGAUACUGUAUGGUGUAAUUGUACUGUUAUUUUCAUCUCCCACUGACAGAUGGGGAAUGAUGAUAUAGAGAGGGUCAGUACUUUGCCCAAAAGCAGAACUGGGCACUGAAGCCAGGAAGACUGGCUCCAGAGUCCAUGUGCAUAACUAUUAGACUACUGAAGUCAUCCUCAGAGGACUGACAAGAAUUCUCGACAGAAAUAUAGUUAUAAUUAAGCAUUUAUCAGGCUGUGCUUGGACCCAUUUUCUGGUAACCAAAAGUCAUGUAGCACUGGAUACUGACCAUUUGCAUUCCCAUUGUUCCUAUAGACAAGAUUUCUAAUGUGAGAAUUGUAAGACUUUCACUUAAGAAUUGCCUAAGAUGUUUUUCAGAUCCUGAAUUCCAGAAAAACAGCUGAUGUCAACUAAUGUGAAGACCCGCACAGAGGCACGGCAUCGACCUGAGAGUACAGUUUCUUCAUCUCCCUGUCUAUGAUUUUACCCCGCACUUUUUGACCAAUCAACAAUCUUCACACUUUGGCCCAUUUCAAUACUCUUAAAAACCCUAGCCCCAAAUUCUUUGGGGAGAUGGAUUUGAGGUUUCCUAGCAUCUCCUCAUUCAGCGGCCCUACAGUUUUAUCUCUUUCUCUAUUGCAAACCAGGGUCUCUUCUAGGCAUAUCAACUUGCUACAUUGGGCAACAGAUUUGUUACAGUUACACCAAUACUGCUAAUCUACUCCGUGGUGGGUUUUCCAAACUCAAUAACCAUUUUACUAUCAUGUGCCUAGGUUUUGACCCUUGCUACCAGUGGGCUCCAGGUACCUUUCUCUAUUUCACUAAGCCUCAAUUUCCACAUUUGUACAACAGAGAUAAAAAUAGAGCCAAGCCCAAAGGGAUAAUCGCAAUGAGGAUUAUUCACUGCUUCAUUCAAAAGCUAUUCACUGCGCACCUACUGUGUGCCAAGCACUGUCCUGAACAACUAACAGAAUUGACAAGACUUCUUCCUUCAGGGAGCAUAUAAUAAACAAGAUAGAGUGGGGAAGAGGCAAUAAACACAAUUGUAGCAAAACUAUUAUACUACAUUGGAAGCUAAUAUAAACUAUUUAAAGAAAUAUAAAGUAUAAAAAAGAAUGGGUGUGCUGGGUUGGAGGGCUGUUGGAAUUUCAAAUAGGGGCCGGGGUGCAGUGGCUAAUGCCUGUAACCCUAGCACUUUGGGAGGCCAACGUGGGUGGAUCACCUGAGGUCAGGAGUUCAAGAUCAGCCUGGCCAACAUGUGAAACUCUGUCUCUACUAAAAAUACAAAAAUUCACCGGAUACGGUGGCACACGCCUGUAGUCCCAGCUACUCGGGAGUCUGAGGGAGGAGAAUUGUUUGAACUCUGAAGGCAGAGGUUGCAGUGAGUCGAGAUCUCACCACUGCACUCCAGCAUGGGCCACAGAGUGAGACUCUGUCUCAAAAACAAACGAACAAACAAAAUUCAAAUCGGGGAGAGGGGCCAGGAAAGUCCUCAGUGAGGAUGUGACAUUUGGGCAACACCACGUUUCAAAGGGUCUCCUGUAUUUAAUUUGCAAUUUAGGUAAAGUAAAACAUAAAAAUCACUUAGCUUAGUGCCUGAUACAACAUGGGUACUCAACAAAUAUGUAGUUACCUGCCCAGUAAGGCAAAAUAAUUAUUUUUUAAAUUUUUACUUAAAAACAAUAGUAGGCUGGGUGCGGUGGCUCACGCCUGUAAUCCCAGCACUUUGGGAGGCCCAGGUGGGCGGAUCACGAGGUCAGAAGAUUGAGACCAUC
rnacentral:lncRNA from 1 species